GCAGGGGGAAGAGGGGGACGAUGACUACCUUCCGAGUCAAACGCAGACGCACAGCCAGGUGCAGAGGAAUCUGGAGAGACGCUCCCAGGAGCAAGUGGAUCAGAAGGUCAGUGAGCUGGUUCAGUUUCUGCUCGUGAAAGACCAGAAGAAGAUCCCCAUCAAGAGAUCAGAUAUUCUGAAGAAGGUCAUCCGCGAG